GCUAACCUGUGUGUUCCAUGUGCAGGACUCUCAGUGUGUGUGUUUGCCGGGGUUCUCUGGUAAACUGUGCCAGACAGCAGUAAACGCCUGUGACAGCAACCCUUGUGUAAAUGGAGGGCAGUGUGUGGAGCGUCAGGGUGACAGAGGCAUGUUCUGCAGCUGCCCGCUGGGAUACACUGGCACCUACUGUGAGGUGGAACUGGAUCUUUGUAAUCCCAACCCCUGCCCGAAGGGGGUACCAUGCCGUAGUACAGAAGAAGGCUACAAGUGCACCUGUCCUGAGGGUUACUUUGGAAAUGAGUGCCUGAGCCUGAAGAAUCCAUGUCAUGAACUCCAUUGCCAAGGUGCAGUGUCAGACCCAGGUGGAGGUGGGUUCAGUAUUUAUAUGGUGUUGGUGGGUGUAUUUGCCCUGCUUGUGGCAGGCAGCUGCUCUGUGUGCGCACUACUGCUGUCCCGCCUGCACCGCCGCCACCGGACCAAAGCGCAGCUACGUACUUCAGCGCCUGAGGACAACGCCAUUAACAACCAGCGGCAGUUCUGCACUCUCAUCCGUAACCUCGACCACAGCAUGGCCCUGCUGCCUCCUGCCCAAACAGUGCCCACCUCUGUGCCCACUGUGCCCAUGCCAGUGCUCUGCAGUGAAGAUAUUGAACUUACACUUUCUCCCUCAGCUGUGCCCUCUCCAGCCCUAAAACCAGCCCACGGGCCCAAGCUGGACAUUUGCAACCGCGAACGGGAGAAACUAAACCGUUUCCACUAUGCAGAGAACCAGGAACUGGAGGUGUGACCGCACUUUGACCACUGGGAAGGAUUCUGACUUCUUCUUUCUAAUCAACCUCUGCUGGUGAACCUUGACCUCUGAGCUUUGCAUUACAGAGAGGGUUCAAACUUGGAAGGGAAUUAUUGGCACAGUCACAGGCUGAAGAAAUUGUACGGACAGACAGGGUCCAAAAUUUUAACACACUUGUCAAUGGUGGGUAAACUCAGACAUAAAAAAUAUGACAUCACAAAAUUCUGGUCAUUAAUCAUAAUUUCCAAAUAAGUUAUGGACUUAUUUAGUAGACUGUUUGAUUUUUAAUCACUCACGUGAUUUACAUCAGUGAGGAUGAGAUUAUCAUUUGUAUAAUUCAAUUUAAAACAUUCAUUUCAACAUUCACUUUAUUUACCCCAAAGCCAUUUUAUGCACAUUUUGCACUUGGCGAGUGUUCAUUUCGGACCCUGUCUGGUUAACAGCAAGUGUUUUUAAGGCCAGCAAUUCAACUUCUUGGAAUCCUGGAUACUUAAGUGUAUUUUAUCGUGUUUACACCUACAUGUUUUGUACACAUUUGUUUGAUUGUAAGUGUGCGUGUGUUUAUGAGCGUGUAAGUGUAUAUGUAUGACUGUUUGUGGACGGUUUGCCAUACAUUUCCACAAAGCCAUGCACAUUAUCGCAACUCCCUGAAUUUUUGAUACUUGUGUAAAAACAGUGUAGUUGUGUCCGUGAUUGACAUUUGAAGGAAUUAUGGAGAAAGAUAGCAGCGGCGUCUGAAAAAGUGCCAGGUGACAUCCUUAAAAUCUCGCUAAUUAUUGCCUGUCAUGUUGGAGAUGUACAAGAUUUUUAUCUUGGAUGUAUAUAGCACCAUUGUACAUAUUUUGUACAUAUCAAUUUUCACCAUUUUUGUAUGCUGACUCCUUGCAAAAAUCGCCAUUUUAAUUUCCUGUUUUCACUCUUUCCACUCAAGAUGGUAUUUGCCGCAAGAUCGAAUUGUAGGCUAAUUAAAGUGCUUUUAUCAACCAAAGCAUGUGUUUCUGUGCGUGUAUGUGCAAUUGGUAUAUCGGGGUGUGUGUGUGUUUGGUAAUCUUGUUCUGUAUUACUGACGCUUAUUGUCUAAUUGCCAUUUGGUAAGCUGUGUGAAGUCAAUAAAAGGAAACUUGUUCACAGAGCGUCCUGCUCCUAACAGCAGUUUACUGUAUGUGUCAGUGAGUCAGCGUUCACUUUCAUGUUCACUACCUCC
ensembl:lncRNA